CAUGAAGCUGGAUUCGCUAGUAAUCGCGCAUCAGCCGCGGCGCGGUGAAUACGUUCCCGGGCCUUGUACACACCGCCCGUCAAGCCAUGGAAGCCGGGGGGUGCCUGAAGUGCGCUGCCGCAAGGAGCGUCCUAGGGUAAAACCGGUGACUGGGGCUAAGUCGUAACAAGGUACC
rnacentral:rRNA from 1 species